UGAUAUACAUAAUACUACUUUAUUCCAUUGCUUCAACUUUCUUACAGCUUCAAAAAACGUACAGGGGUUCAGAACCACCUCAACAGAACAAAGAAUACAUAAUUAAGAGAAAUCUAGAGUCAAACCACAAGUGUGCAAGCGUGGUUAGCUUCCAUUACAAAAAGUAAUAGGCACGAUCUUUACAUAUGCAUUUUGGUGAAAGAAGGAAUAAUAGUGCAGUGUUAAAAGGCACCAAUGAUCGAUAAUUGGGCCUCUUCUAAAAGCCAAUAACCAUCUAAGAAAAUUACAUUUGGUUCAAAAUAAUGAUUUUAAUAUUUUAUUGAUUGGCAUGCAUCUGAACCCCUGACAAUUUAUGACACAAACCUAAUGUGCACCCUUGCAAAAUAAAAAAAGAUUUCAUCAGUGGACCUGAAAAUCAGUUCAGUACAAAAGGAAAUACUGAAGCUUUUUACCUGUACUUAAUAGUAAACUGUCUAGUUCACCUCCUCCAAGAACACUUGUCUAACAAACAGCUAAUCAACAACUGCAUGGAAGUAUUUCUCUUAAAGUAAGUGUAAUUUUUUAAUCCUGUAGCAUUGACCUAUUCCAUGUGCUAUGAAAACAUUAGGCACAGACCACAGUUUACGUUUUCUCCUAAAAAAACAGUAUGUGCAAGCUAGGUUCACACAACAGAUUGACAGCUACAACAGUAAGCUAUUUAAACUUCCCAAAGAAAAGGGUUAGUUUUAAUUUUCUAAGCAGUGAAGCACACUGCUGUGCGCAAUUAUCAUAUCUGCAUUAGGAUUAUCUGUGUAGCCAAUAAAGGAAAAGCUUUAGUACACCCUAAAGGACACUACAUUGAUACUGUGCACUAAUUUAACAGGAUCAAGAGAGUGAAAGAUUGAAGAAGUCAUCGUACAUGGGCAGCGGCAAUUACUCAGCCAGCCAUGAAGGGCUAUGGCUUUCUGCAGGAAGAAUGGUUUGAAACUCAAGUUUGCCUCACAGGUGCCCUCAAACUAAACCACUAGGAAGUGGUGGAAUCUAGGGAUGAACAGCAUGGAAAAAAA
rnacentral:lncRNA from 1 species